rnacentral:pre_miRNA from 1 species
UUGCUACUCCCUCCGUCCGGAAAUACUUGUCAUCAAAAUGAAUAAAAGGGGAUGUAUCUAGAUAUAUUUUAGUUUUAGAUACAUAUCUUUUUAUCCAUUUUGAUGACAAGUAUUUUCGGACGGAGGGAGUACUUA